rnacentral:misc_RNA from 1 species
AGAAUCCUCGCCUUACGUUUUCUUGCGCGAUGACGCGAUAGGUGACCUUUUACAGCCUCAGUUCGACGGACCCUUUAAAGUCAUAAAAAGACAUAACAAAAAUUACACCAUCAAAAUAAAUAAUCGCGACGUAACGGUCUCCAUCGACCGACUAAAAGCUGCGUUUGUUAUAUCGGACGAUUUAGAAGAAAAAAGCACCGAUUCUGGUAACAUACUGAUUGGCAUAGGUCAAACGAACGCCCGCGAUGAAACCGGCACAAACAACAACGAUCAAACCGCGGAAGAAAACAUCAGGAACAGGCGUAAAGAGGCAACAACGUACAAGACAGGAGAUUUAGUGGCGAUCGAGGGGAUGCAGGAUGUUCCUGGGCUGAAGUUGCAGUCAAAGUACAUCUGAGGACAGAUGUGGAAUGCCGGGUAUGAUCGAAUGUAGUAUCAUGAAAGAGGGGCCUGGAGGAUGUUAUGCGGAUUAUAAACCAGCGGUUCCUAAAGUAUAAAUUAUAAACAAGCGGUUGCGGAGAUGCGAAUUAUAAAUAAGCGGUUUGCUGAGCAUGUGCGUACUGGGGCUAAGACAAAGGGCAAGGGGUUGCUAGGGAAUGAUGAACGAAUUAACAACAGUAUGAGUUGAGAAGUCAGAGA